GAUGAACGCUAGCGAUAGGCUUAACACAUGCAAGUCGAGGGGCAGCAUGGCCUUAGCUUGCUAAGACUGAUGGCGACCGGCGCACGGGUGCGUAACGCGUAUGCAACUUGCCUCACAGAGGGGGAUAACCCGUCGAAAGACGGACUAAUACCGCGUACACUUGGGAUAGGGCAUCCUGACCCAAGGAAAUGAAAUUCGCUGUGAGAUAGGCAUGCGUCCCAUUAGCUAGUUGGUGAGGUAACGGCUCACCAAGGCGACGAUGGGUAGGGGAACUGAGAGGUUGAACCCCCACACUGGUACUGAGACACGGACCAGACUCCUACGGGAGGCAGCAGUGAGGAAUAUUGGUCAAUGGGCGAGAGCCUGAACCAGCCAAGUCGCGUGAAGGAUGACUGUCUUAUGGAUUGUAAACUUCUUUUAUACGGGAAUAACAAGAGCCACGUGUGGCUCCCUGCAUGUACCGUAUGAAUAAGCAUCGGCUAACUCCGUGCCAGCAGCCGCGGUAAUACGGAGGAUGCGAGCGUUAUCCGGAUUUAUUGGGUUUAAAGGGUGCGUAGGCGGCCUGUUAAGUCAGCGGUGAAAUCUAGGAGCUUAACUCCUAAAUUGCCAUUGAUACUGGCGGGCUUGAGUGUAGAUGAGGUAGGCGGAAUGCGUGGUGUAGCGGUGGAAUGCAUAGAUAUCACGCAGAACUCCGAUUGCGAAGGCAGCUUACUAAGGUACAACUGACGCUGAAGCACGAAAGCGUGGGUAUCAAACAGGAUUAGAUACCCUGGUAGUCCACGCAGUAAACGAUGAUAACUGGGCGUAUGCGAUAUACAGUAUGCUCCUAAGCGAAAGCGUUAAGUUAUCCACCUGG
rnacentral:rRNA from 1 species